ACGGGGUGCAGCAGGCGCGAAACCUCCGCAAUGUGAGAAAUCGCGACGGGGGGAUCCCAAGUGCCAUUCUUAACGGGAUGGCUUUUCAUUAGUGUAAAGAGCUUUUGGAAUAAGAGCUGGGCAAGACCGGUGCCAGCCGCCGCGUAAU
rnacentral:rRNA from 1 species